AGCCCUCCAACCCUGAGUCCACCCUGGAACUGAUGGCCCGCAGGGUUGAAAAGGGAUCGCCCAGGUCGUGGGAGCCAACCUGCAGUUUCACAGCCAGGCUCCGGCGGCCUGGGCUCUGACCCCACAGGGAGGGCCUGUGGGUGCCCGGCGAUUUUUCCUGCCCUCCCAAAUGCCACCGGUCAAGCUUCUGCCUCCCAAACCCAAGGAAAGGGUCCACAGUAGGAGCGAAUGGCUAAGAAGGCUCCAUUCCACGAGGCUUUCCUUCUAGGUGUUCCCCAGAAGACAGACUUCGGCCUGGGGAGAGAGGGCUCAGCCCAUGAGCAGCCACAGAAACUCCCCGUGCCCACCACGGGUCUGAACCCCUGAUCUCCCAUCCCUACCUGCCAACGUUAGAGGGGUCCCAGGUGGGGAGUGGGGAGGAGGAAGUGGCCCAUUCAGGCACAUUGGGGUAACAAGACUACUUACAUUUGGGAAGAUAAGCCGGAUAACAAGGAGAAAGAGAACUUCAAACCCGGCCCCCCACUGUCCCUUGUGCUGGCCACCUACUACACCCUUUCUCUCUAGAACCGUCCUCUACUCCACCCCGCCACCGCCUAAGAGUCCUAACCCUGACACACUCCUGUAAGGAUCAUCAAGCCCUAGAGUACCAGGGACCUUGGUCCAAUCUCUCCUCGCUUUACAAGGAAACUGAGGCCCAGACACAGGAGAGACUUCCCGUAGACCUUCCUUCUCCCCUCGCUUUUUCCUUCUCUUUCUUUUCCUAUUUUUUUUUUUUCUUUCUUAAAAACCCCAAGCAGGAAGAGAGCUGGGGAGCGCGGACAGGAGCGGACAGGAGAUGAAGACGCAGGUGGGGUCAGAGGACAGGGCUCUGGGGGCCGAGGGUACAGGCUGUGAGUGGGUGAGGACGGAGGGCCGGCAGGGAUGCGGCGGGAGGGAGAGUCUGGGCACCGGCAGGGGGCACAGAACAGGUGUGAGAAGCACGGAGAUGGACAGAGAGAGCUGCUCCCGAGCUGCCUGGACGUUUAUGCCUCUGCCCCAGGCCCUUCACCUGCAGGGCGCGCCCCAGUCCCCUGCCCAGCUCGAGCAUCCUGCCUCAACCAUCACUUCCUUUUCUUCUCCUUCGCCAGCUUGGCUUCCCCAGCGUCCUGGUCCUUGAGGAGUUUUACCCUCCUCUUGCCCAGUGGAGUCUUGAAGUACCAGUCCUGGUGGGAGGAGGAGGGGGAGAGGGGAGGGCAUUGGCUCCCCCCACCCCCUCCCCCACACCCUGCUUCUGUUUCCCGAACUUGUCCUCCCCUUUCCACGGCAGCUGCUUCCCCUCUCUUCCCCAGCUCAGGUGUCCUGCUAGGGUCCCGGUUUCCCUUGCUCUCCACCAAAUACUCUAGGCCGUGGGGUCAGCCACUGUCAGGGGGCAAGCCCUCUCUCUGUGGCCAUCCUGCCCCCAUGGAGCACUGGUGGGUGGUGACUCAGGAGGGGAAUGUGGGUGUUCGCUGGUGCCAGGACCAACCACGGCUCUUAAAACCCAGGUAACACUUUUAGGCUCCAGCCCUUGAGGACACCAGGUAAGCUGGUCCUGCCACAGGCCCUUCUCCUGGAUUUCUCGUCCCCUUCUUAGCUGGACUCCAGGGGGGAGCAGAGGGAGGUAUCUAAGGGGGCCGUAGAGGGCUGACUCCCUGGUUAGUGUUGACCCAUUACCCUCCCCCCACACCCCCAAGCCUCACCUUCAGGGACUCCUCCUCCUCCCUGUACACCGGCUCCAGCUUGGCCAGGUGCCCCAAGAACUCUGAGGCCACCAGGGGCCGCUUGGACAGCUGCAGGACCCGCCGCUCAGUCAGCACGGAGUGGAUGGCUUGGAGAAUGUGACCAGGGUCUCACCGAAGCGAGAAGCGUAAUCGGGCCGAGGCAUGAAGAGGAUCCGUUCGUAGGUCCGGCACAGCCCCUUCAUCUCUGCCAGCUGCGGCUGGUCACUCGUCCCUAUCAGCAUCACGCGGUCUCCUGGGCUCAGCAGUCGCAAGGCCUUGGUGAGAUCCUUCUUUAUUCGCUUUGGGUCCAUCUGCUCUGGGGCAGGGUGGGGGCGGGAACAUGGUGACUUGUAUGGGCUUCUGCAUUCUCUCGGAGCGCGUGUCCACACCCAGCCUCCAGUGGACCCCGGGAGGGAUCCAGGGAGGUGGCCAGGAGGCCCCUGUCCUGCUUCCAGGAUAAGCCCAAGGCAGCAGGAGAAGAGGGAAUUUGUCCAAGGCCCCACAGCGGGUGAGGUUUGGAGUUGACUUGAGCGAGCCCACGCCGGCCUCGCCCCUGGCUCCGGCUGCUACCCAGGUCCCGCACCUCCUUCUCUUCUUUCGGGACCCUCUUAUAGAAAUUCUUCUCGGCAUUCCCAAUCCAGAUCACAGAGGGCUGUAAGAGCCGAGCCACCUGGACAGGUCAGAGAAUAAAAACCUGACGUCGGAUGUCCCUGGGCAAGGGUCACCUCCCCCGUCUGGUCCAAAGGCUGACCUUGGAGCUCCGGUCCCCACUUCCCACGCAGCGUCCACCCCUCCUCUCAACCUGCUGCCAUCCGCCACACCUCCCUAGGAACAGACUCACGCCCCCCCGCCAUGUGGGGACCCUGCGUAUUAAGCCUCAUCAUAAAGAAAACCUAUCAUGAAAGAAACUGCUCUGCUCCCCACUGCCCGCCAUGCUCCCCAUCCACAAGGCUUCAGAAAUCCACAAGGUCCUCCCAGGGGUUGGUAAGGAGACCUCAGCAGCUCCGGACAUCACACCGAAUAGGCAGAUGAGGGAUCUCCUAAGUGUAAAGCACACCCUGCCCUGUGGGCACAGCCCGAGAACGAGAGGUGCUGAAGGCGGGGGACCCAGACCUUAAAGACGAUAUGCACGAUCAUCUGUGUCCCCGUCUUGCCAGGAUAUUUGCUCUGCAGGUUGCUGGGGGACAGGUCAAAGAGGUUGGCGCCCGUUUCUGUGCACACCGCCUUGACCAGCAUCUUCUUCCCCAUUCCAGAGGGGCCCACCAGGAGGAUCGAGCGGAUGAAGGGGGCCAUGGAGUGUAUAUCUGGGGAGCCUGAGAGAGGAAACAGGGGCCAGAGGCAGACAGUAGGACAGUAGGGGGGCUGGGGUGGAAGCCACAGUGUAAGGUGAGGCCGAAGGCCCAAGGCAGGGUGGGAUGACGUUUGGAUCCUAGGUGCCUGCCGACCCCCAGUGUGGGGGGCCCCAUCCCCAGGCAGGCAUGCUGAGAGAGGCAGCCCGGGAGGCUUCCAAGGACUUCCCAGGUACAAUUAUGAAGAGUUCUCUACAGGGUCAAAAGGGAGCCUUCUAGCCCCUUCCAACACCCUUUCUGUUUUCUGUACCAUCUCUUUCCACUUCUGGAUCAUGAGGGGUGGAAUUAAAGGGCCUGGGACCAACCGCUCCAGAAAGAUCCUGGUCUUCUGGGAAGGAGACAGACUAUGGGAUAUCACUUGGGGUUGGGAAAGGGGCCAGAAAAGUGGAUUCCUUGGUAGGCCAAGAGUCCAUAUGAUUUCUGGGGUGGCCCAAUCUGGGUGUGACCUCCGGCAGGGCCUGGGGAAGACCGGAGGAGUCCAGCAGGGGCCCAUGGCACCGGGGACAUGCCCACCUCAACCGCCCUGACAGGCACCUCGGCUCCCCCACGAGCCACCUGCCAGUGUUGGUUCUCCCUGCUCCCCAGGGCACCUUACCAAGGCGAAGGACCCCAUACAAGGCCACAUUCUGUCUUAUGUCAAACAAGGAAGGUGAAGGCAACUUGUUCGCCAGGUUCAGAAUGGAUCCAAGAUAGAGGUAGUCGCCUGGGGGCACAAGUGUGUGGCAUCCGCUGGCACAGGGCCGAAAGAGAGCCCCGCGGGGAGAAGGCUCCCAGCAGAGGGUGGUAGUUAGCCACAGGAGGGCUGUGGCCAGGGCACCGCUCCUCAGCCUGGGAGCAGGUGCUGGACAGGGGUCUCACCAAUGUAAUCUUUCAAGGCCACCGUCUCGCACUUCCUUAGAAAGCCGGAGACCACGAGCUCCUCAAACAGAGAGUCCACGGACCUGCAGAGGACAGUGCAGAGGGGUCCCCAAGGACGAAGGGAAGUGGAGAUGGAGAUGAGUGGCAGGCUUGAGGACAAAAAUACCCAGAGUGCCACUGGACAGCCAGCAUCAGAAGCCACAGUGCCAACCCGCUGGCCAGAAGGCCGUCUGCCCACGGUGGGACUCCGUGGGUUGAGCGGGGUGUGAGGAGGACACGCGCCCUCUGCAGCCCUCCCUCCAUCAGUCUGCUCAGGUCCCCAGGUCCCGCCAUCAGAAAUCCAGUCAUUUGGCCAACAUAGGACCGUUUUUCUAGAAAUCACACUUGACGUCUAGGCUCCUGGAAGCAGCUGACAUCAGUGUGCUCGAGACUCACUUCACCAAAGAAAACAGAACGAGGACCGGAAGUCAGAUCGGUCCUGGGCCCGGGUUUGCUCCACCUCCCACGAUAAGGUACACCCUGCGGCCACACGGCAGGAGCUCUUGAAGGGUUGAUGGGCACAAUGGUGGGUGUGACCCCAGCCCAGAGCCCCUCCGCACCCCAGGGAGAGAGGGACCAGAGAGACGCAGAGGAGGAAGGGGACCGAGACGGACGAAGGUGGAGUUAGAAUGACACGGAAGGCGGGACAGACGGACAGAAGAAUGAAGUUCAGAGUCCCAGGGCACCCACACACUCACAGAAACCUGGCAGGGGAACCUGACCCAGGCUGGUCCACGUGUCUCUUGCUCCGUCUCUGCACCUGUCUGUCUGUCUCAUACACAUGCCUACAUGGACCAGGAACCUGACCCAGGCUGGUCCCUUCAUCCUCACAGGGCUGUCCAGCACUGCUUCUACCUAGAUCAUGGAGGCCUGACCCCAAGGCCAAAGGCAGAACUCCCCCCACCCAGGGAAUCGCAUCGCACCCCACGCGUGCGUCCUCCUUUGGCAUUCUCCUCUCGACCUCCACAUCCGCACACCCACACUACCCCUCAUGGUCCACAGAGCAUGUGUUCACUUUCCCCAGGACCCUGAGUCACCCCAAGGCCCUCACAGGGCCUGGACACUCUUCCCCAGCCUGCUCCUGCCUUACUUAUGUACUCCUCAUGGCCAGCAUUGAUGACAGGUAUAAACUUGGAUGGCCACACUUUCAGCAUCGUGUCUGCUUCCUAGAACAGAAACAUCCUUUGACCUCAACUCCCUCAUGGUCCCUGCCCCUUCCUCCCCUCAGACCAGCCUCCCACCGGGAAUCUCCUCAGACCAAGAGGAACUUUACCCCCUUCCUGGUCUUGUCUUUCUUUCCUUUCUUCUGCUUUCUCUCUUUUUUCUCCUUAUUUUUCUCUUGGUCCUUUCUUUUGCUCUCCUGGAUCUCUGUCUCCAGUUCCAUUUUUACCUGUGACCAACGAUGGAAGACAUUUCAGAGAAGACCAGUGGGAUUCUACAGGAGCAAAAGAACCCAGGGUACCUGUUCUGGAGUCUUGUCUGCAAAGAUCAUGUAGGAUCCACCUACAGAAUCAUCUGGAUAAUCAGGGAAUCGACCAGUAAGGGCACUAAGUAAACAUAAAAUGGUCAGAGAGAUACACAGAAUCACGGGUCUUCUCUAUGGCCAGCUGGAACUCCUCCUCCUUCUCUGUCUGGCGGACCCUCCGGAUACCCUCCCUGAGGCCGGCU